rnacentral:rRNA from 1 species
UACGUAGGGCGCAAGCGUUUAUCCGGAAUUAUUGGGCGUAAAGAGCUCGUAGGCGGUUUGUCGCGUCUGCCGUGAAAGUCCGGGGCUCAACUCCGGAUCUGCGGUGGGUACGGGCAGACUAGAGUGAUGUAGGGGAGACUGGAAUUCCUGGUGUAGCGGUGAAAUGCGCGAUAUAGGAGGAACACCGGUGGCGAAGGCGGGUCUCUGGGCCGAUAUUGACGCUGAGGAGCGAAAGCGUGGGGAGCGAACAGG